GGAUGUAAGGGCAAUUUGGCUAAGACAUCUGUCUCCCCAUGAAUCACCAGAGUUGAGAGUUGAUUUGGCUGAUCUAGCUGGCUAGGCAGGUGUUCCCUUCCACCCUCACUGCUCCAUGUGCAUCCCUCCUGAAGCUGUGCACUCAGUCAAAGAGGAUGACUUUCCCCGAUAAAGAUGUACUGUUCCUCGGUCAAGAGUACACAGUAGCUGCACUCCCAUGCUAGAAUCAACAAACAAGAGUUCAAGGUCCAUUUGUAGGAGAACAUAUAUUAGUCAAGCUUCCAAGACUGCAGAUAUAUGCAAGUGAGGAACUACACAGGGCAGUCUGCCAUUGUUU
rnacentral:snRNA from 1 species